AUUGAACGCUGGCGGCAGGCCUAACACAUGCAAGUCGAACGAGUGGCGGACGGGUGAGUAAUGUCUGGGAAAAUGCCCGGUGGAGGGGGAUAAAUACUGGAAACGGUAGAUAAAACCGCAUACCAUCGGAUGUGCCCAGGUGGGAUUAGCGAGUAGGUGGGGUAAGGGCUCACCUAGGAGACGAUCCCUAGAGGGUCUGAGAGUAUGACAAGCCACACUGGAACUGAGACACGUUCCAGACCCCUACGGUAGGCAGCGGUGGGGAAUAUUGCCCAAUGGGCGCAAGCCUGAUGCAGCCAUGCCGCGUGUAUGAAGAAGGCCUUCGGGUUGUAAAGUACUUUCAGCGAGGAGGCGUUACUCGCAGAAUAAGCACCGGCUAACUCCGUGCCAGCCGCCGCGGUAAUAC
rnacentral:rRNA from 1 species